rnacentral:rRNA from 1 species
GACGAACGCUGGCGGCGUGCUUAACACAUGCAAGUCGAACGGAAAGGCCCUGCUUUUGUGGGUUGCUCGAGUGGCGAACGGGUGAGUAACACGUGAGUAACCUGCCCUUUACUUUGGGAUAACUUCAGGAAACUGGGGCUAAUACCGGAUAGGAGCUCCUGCUGCAUGGUGGGGGUUGGAAAGUUUCGGCGGUUGGGGAUGGACUCGCGGCUUAUCAGCUUGUUGGUGGGGUAGUGGCUUACCAAGGCUUUGACGGGUAGCCGGCCUGAGAGGGUGACCGGCCACAUUGGGACUGAGAUACGGCCCAGACUCCUACGGGAGGCAGCAGUGGGGAAUAUUGCACAAUGGGCGGAAGCCUGAUGCAGCAACGCCGCGUGCGGGAUGACGGCCUUCGGGUUGUAAACCGCUUUCGCCUGUGACGAAGCGUGAGUGACGGUAAUGGGUAAAGAAGCACCGGCUAACUACGUG